rnacentral:lncRNA from 1 species
AAGCCUAACCACAGGAGAAAUAUAAAUAUAUUAUUCAGAUUAAAAAACAAACAGCAUUUAAAGGGUUAACAUCUACAAACUAAAUAGAGUUGAAGUUAAACUAAAUAUCCGAGAGAAAAUCAGUUAUUUUCUUCACCAAAGGGUAUAAAAGGGAAAACAGGACAGGGAAUUUUCAUUUUCAUUCUGAUGCUCGCUGGGUAAACCCCUAUGAACUGGGGCCCAGCAGCUAUGAAAGCUGUGUGUGCAUAGACCUGAAGAAGACCAAACUAGGUCGAAACGUCGUCGCGGUGCACACAUCAUAUACAUAGUUCAAGUGUGUUCAUGUAUAGUUUGUUUGUUUGUUUGUUUGUGUGUUUGUGGGUAAACAACAGUAAAAACCUAAAAAAAUGGAUUAAUUUAACAAAUAUGAAUUACACAACACACUAAAACUAAUUUAUUAAACAAAAUUUAAUUCAUAACACAAGUCUGUGUUCUCCUGGGACCAGGGGAGCGUGUCCGCUGGGCGAAGGCCAGUGCAUUCCCCGCUCCCCGCCGACCCAAAUAGGGCAAUCUAGGGGAGACGGGAUUAUUUCCCCAAACCUAACCCUAACCCUAACCCUAACUUCCUACCCACACAUAGUUUUUUACACACAGAUUGAGCUCGGAGACUCGACUGGGAACAUGUGACAGGUCGACAUGCGACGGCCAGUGCAAGCCCUUGAUUAGCCUACCCAAAACCGCCAAGUCAACAGACGAAAGCGGGGGCUAUCACUGUAUCUCUUACCCACACCUAACCCUAACCCUAACCCCUAACCCCUAACCCUAACCCCCUAACCACUAACCCUAACCCCUAACCCUAACCCCUAACCCUAACCCUAACCCUCGGAUUCGAACCCUAACCCUAACCCUACGGGUCAGUUUAAGCCUAACCACAGGAGAAAUAUAAAUAUAUUAUUCAGAAUUAAAAACCAAACAGCGAUUAAAGGGUUAACAUUUUACAAACUAAAUAAAGUUGAAUUUAAACUAAAUAUCCGAGAGAAAUUCAGUUAAUUUCUUGUCCAAAGGGUAUAAAAGGGAAAACAGGACAGGGAAAAUUCAUUUUCUUUUGGCUGCUUGCUGGGUGAACCCCUAUGAAUUGGGGCCCAGCAGCCAUUAUGUGUGCAUAGACCUGAUGAAGACCAAACUAGGUCGAAACGUCGUCGCGGUGCACACAUCAUAUAUAUAGUUCAAGUAUUGUUCAUGUUUGUUUGUUUGUUUGUGUGUUUGUGUGUAAACAACAGUUAAAAACCUAAAAAAAUGGAUUAAUUUAACAAAUAUGAAUUACACAACACACUAAAACUAAUUUAUUAAACACAAUUUAAUUCAUAACACAAAUAAGUGUCUUUCUGGGACCGGGGGAGCGUGUCCAGUGGGCGAAGGCCCGUGCAUUCCCCGCUCCCCGCCGACCCAAGUAGGGCAAUUUAGGGGAGACGGGAUUCUUUCCCAAAACCUUAAAACAAGACAUAGAACAUAAUUAAUUGGAAAUUCUUACUUUCUAAUUUUCCUUAACUUUUUUUUUGUUCCAUAGGUUAUAAGCUACUAUAAGUAAGUGUACUUCAAAAUAAAACUAUGAUUUUGUAUUGCAGGUAAGAUGAUAUCUGAAAGAAAUGAGUCUGUACUAAAAAACAAAAAAAACCUUUUUGUGUUCUCAACUCAACUUGGACUCACAUGUAGUAUUCCUUUUUUAAAUUCAGUAUAUGCUGUAUUCAUAGUAUUUUUUGUAUACCAAAUGUUGUAGCCCUUUGAAAGCUGUUCAAUCAAGUUUAAAAAGAAAGGCAAGACAGAUUAAAUAUCAAAAUAAAAGCAUGACAAUAAACUCAUAAGGCAAAAUUUUCCUUCAGGAAGUUUCAUUGCAGGAACGGUGAUGUAGAUGUAUGUGAACAUCAGUAGAAAUGGGUAUUUGUGAUUUGAUUGAUUGUAUUGUAAUCAUGAAGAUCAACUUUUGGGAUACAAGGUCCUACACUUGCAAAAUAAAUCCACUUAUAACACAAAUAACUGCAAACCUACAGAAUAAAACUCCUGUUUUUAACUUACUAAGAUUCUAAAAAUGACAUGCAUACCUCUUUUGUGUUUUAUAUAGACCACAGAUAUGUGCCAGGCGUCUAUAAUUAGACUCUUACCAUCUCAAACACUCACAUGCUCCCGAUCCCAAGUGACUCCGGGACCGUGACUUGUCCUCAUCUUGUCAUGGCUGCUGUCUUCUUGGUUUCAGGGCAGAUUUAAAGAAGCAUGAUCUGCAUUGACAUUUUCAGGAAUGAAAGUGACGUAAAGGGAGCAUGGGCCAGGAAGAGGAGGAGGAAGCUUUAACAUUUAUAAAUACUUCUUUGGCUGAUUAUGGAGCUGCUCUUUUUUUAAUCAAGCCAAAGGGUCUGGUGAACACAGGGCCGCAGAACAUGAUCUCGUCAAGUUCUUAUCAUCACAGGUACAAACUUCUCCAAUAAGAUGUCAAGUAAAACAUAGAUGUAUUUAUUGAGUCUCUGAUAACAGAAAAAGAUGUGAGUCUAAAAAUAAUCACUAUUUGUACAGCAUUUACUUUGGUCAGUAGUAAGUCAAAUUAGGGUGACCAUAUUCUGGAUCCCAAAAAGAGGACACGAGGACACGGGGCGGAGUGGCACACAAAUUUUUGAGUUUUUUGGGUCGGAUCGUGUGUUUUUUACGCGCUUCUAACUCAAUUAGUCCAUGCUACACAAAUUCAAAACUUCCAUACAAAACCCCGAACAUUUGAAGGAUGUUAUAAACUCCCCUGGUCAAUGCC